rnacentral:rRNA from 1 species
AGCAGCAGCCGCGGUAAUACGUAGGUGGCAAGCGUUGUCCGGAAUUAUUGGGCGUAAAGGGCUCGCAGGCGGUUUCUUAAGUCUGAUGUGAAAGCCCCCGGCUCAACCGGGGAGGGUCAUUGGAAACUGGGAAACUUGAGUGCAGAAGAGGAGAGUGGAAUUCCACGUGUAGCGGUGAAAUGCGUAGAGAUGUGGAGGAACACCAGUGGCGAAGGCGACUCUCUGGUCUGUAACUGACGCUGAGGAGCGAAAGCGUGGGGAGCGAACAGGAUUAGAUACCCCGGUAGUCCUGUCUCUUAUACA